rnacentral:rRNA from 1 species
AACGAACGCUGGCGGCAUGCCUAACACAUGCAAGUCGAACGAAGCCUUCGGGCUUAGUGGCGCACGGGUGCGUAACGCGUGGGAAUCUGCCCUUGGGUUCGGAAUAACAGUUAGAAAUGACUGCUAAUACCGAAUGAUGUCUUCGGACCAAAGAUUUAUCGCCCAAGGAUGAGCCCGCGUCGGAUUAGCUAGUUGGUGAGGUAAAGGCUCACCAAGGCGACGAUCCGUAGCUGGUCUGAGAGGAUGAUCAGCCACACUGGGACUGAGACACGGCCCAGACUCCUACGGGAGGCAGCAGUGGGGAAUAUUGGACAAUGGGCGAAAGCCUGAUCCAGCAAUGCCGCGUGAGUGAUGAAGGCCUUAGGGUUGUAAAGCUCUUUUGUCAGGGAAGAAACGGUGAGUUCUAAUAAAGCUUGCUAAUGACGGUACCUGAAGAAUAAGCACCGGCUAACUACGUGCCAGCAGCCGCGGUAAU